rnacentral:rRNA from 1 species
UACGUAGGUGGCAAGCGUUAUCCGGAAUUAUUGGGCGUAAAGAGCGCGCAGGUGGUUGAUUAAGUCUGAUGUGAAAGCCCACGGCUUAACCGUGGAGGGUCAUUGGAAACUGGUCGACUUGAGUGCAGAAGAGGGAAGUGGAAUUCCAUGUGUAGCGGUGAAAUGCGUAGAGAUAUGGAGGAACACCAGUGGCGAAGGCGGCUUCCUGGUCUGUAACUGACGCUGAGGCGCGAAAGCGUGGGGAGCAAACAGGAUUAGAUACCCU